rnacentral:rRNA from 1 species
AUUGAACGCUGGCGGCAGGCCUAACACAUGCAAGUCGAACGAGUGGCGGACGGGUGAGUAAUUUCUGGGAAACUGCCUGAUGGAGGGGGAUAACUACUGGAAACGGUAGCUAAUACCGCAUACCAUCGGAUGUGCCCCGAUGGGAUUAGCUAGUAGGUGGGGUAAAGGCUCACCUAGGCGACGAUCCCUAGCUGGGCUGAGAGGAUGACAAGCCACACGGGAACUGAGACACGGUCCAGACUCCUACGGGAGGCAGCAGUGGGGAAGAAUGCAAAAUGGGCGCAAGCCUGAUGCAGCAAGGCCGCGUGUAUGAAGAAGGCCUUCGGGUUGUAAAGGACUUUCAGCGGGGAGGCGUUACCCGCAGAAGAAGCACCGGCUAACUCCGUGCCAGCCGCCGCGGUAAUGC